rnacentral:tRNA from 1 species
UUAUUUAAAUAGUUUAAUAAAAAAUUUUAGUUUGUGGAGCUAAAGAUAUAUAUAUAAUAUUUUAAA